UCUCCGUUGGUGAACCAGCGGAGGGAUCAUUACCAGAGUUUUACAACUCCCAACCCUUCUGUGAACCCACCUAUCGUUGCUUCGGCGGACUCGCCCCAGCGUCCGGACGGCCCCGCGCCGGCCCGCGACCUGGACCCAGGCGGCCGCCGGAGACCACACAAUCCUGUAUUCAUCAGUCUCUCUGAAUCCGCCGCAAGGCAAAACAAACGAAUCAAAACUUUCAACAAUGGAUCUCUUGGUUCUG
rnacentral:misc_RNA from 1 species